AUGUAAAUGCACCCUGAUAACUCACUUCCCUAGUUGGCUACUCGCUGCUGGGGAUUUAUUUU
rfam:Scytonema tolypothrichoides VB-61278 scaffold_2, whole genome shotgun sequence.